AUGCCGGGCCAUUCGCAAAAGGGGCGAUCGGAACCGUCCGCGCGAAAGGAGCAGGGCCGCGGAAUCUACGGAGCAGUCACGAGGCCCGCAGCGAAGGGCACGCAGCUCCCGGCGGGUCGUCCCUGCCGCGACGUCCCCCGUCCCCGUGGGUGCAGCGGGGCAGUCUGCGCCCUGUCCUUUCGCAGACAACUAGGGGCUCCGGGGGCGGCCACACCGGGAAGAGGGAGCAGGCAGACACCGAGGUGCGGGGCCUCACGGCGGGGAGGGCGACCAAGGCCUGCGCGUCCCCACGUGCCUGGCCCCAGGCCCCCGCCCCGCGCGCCAGAAGCAUCGCGCGGGCGAGCGGCGCGGCUCGGGGCGGCCGGGCUCUGCCAGGGCCACGCAGCGCGCGGGGGCCGGGCGCGCAGCCCUCGCCAGUCCCCAGCGGCCCGGGCAGGCGCUGGAACCUGGCGGGCGCGCCCGGGGCUCGGACUCCCGCGCGGCCCUGCGCGUUUCCCGGAAGCGCCCGAGCGGCGCCGGCGCAGCCGGGACUCGGCUCCCAGAGUGCCGCGGGCCGCCCGCCCCACGACCGCGCCGGAAGCUGCCAGCGCUGGGGGCCGGGCGCGGGUGAGACGGCGCGGGCCGCAAGCCGGUGGGGACCGCCAGGUGUCCGGCGGGGCCCCUCCCGUCAGAGUGGUCGUGGGGGCCCUGCGGCCGGAGCCGAUAUCCAGCUCCCAGGUUGGGUCCUCCCGGCGGCGGCGCGCGGGGUUCCUCCAGCCCGCGGCCUGCGGGGAAGAACCUGGCUCGCGAGGGCCUCCAGGGACCAGCCAGGCGUGGGUGGACACGGGGCUGCCAACACCGUACUGCCCCUUGCCUGUCUGUGGCUUGUGGGCUUUGGCUGAGAGUAGCCCCCACGAUUUGCUCCUGGAGCCUCAGCGCCAAGGUUUUCUGCCUCCAGCUGCUCUGGUUCCGAUGGUAGCCUCCAGGCCGCUGUGGAGCCCCAGGCAGGGCCGUGGGAAACAGGACUGGGAGGUGGUGUGA
rnacentral:lncRNA from 1 species